UACGUAGGUCCCGAGCGUUGUCCGGAUUUAUUGGGCGUAAAGCGAGCGCAGGUGGUUGUAUAAGUCUGAAGUAAAAGGCAGUGGCUCAACCAUUGUGUGCUUUGGAAACUGUACAACUUGAGUGCAGAAGGGGAGAGUGGAAUUCCAUGUGUAGCGGUGAAAUGCGUAGAUAUAUGGAGGAACACCGGUGGCGAAAGCGGCUCUCUGGUCUGUAACUGACACUGAGGCUCGAAAGCGUGGGGAGCAAACAGGAUUAGAUACCCUGGUAGUCCACGCCGUAAACGAUGAGUGCUAGGUGUUGGGUCCUUUCCGGGACUCAGUGCCGCAGCUAACGCAUUAAGCACUCCGCCUGGGGAGUACGGCCGCAAGGCUGAA
rnacentral:rRNA from 1 species